rnacentral:rRNA from 1 species
GUGUCAGCCGCCGCGGUAAUACGUAGGUGGCAAGCGUUGUCCGGAUUUACUGGGCGUAAAGAGCGCGCAGGCGGUCGGAUAAGUCGAGUGUGAAAGCCCCUGGCUCAACCAGGGAGGGUCAUUCGAUACUGUUCGACUCGAAGGCAGGAGAGGGAAGUGGAAUUCCGGGUGUAGUGGUGAAAUGCGUAGAUAUCCGGAGGAACACCAGUGGCGAAGGCGACUUUCUGGCCUGUUCUUGACGCUGAGGCGCGAAAGCUAGGGGAGCAAACGGGAUUAGAUACCCGGGUAGUCC